AGCACCAGUGUUAGGUAAAAGCAAAUAGAAAGAAAAGAAAGAAAAAAAAAACGAAAAGCAUUUGUUCAAUAUAAUAAACUUCUCGCUUUUGCUUCGGAGUAAAUGCUUUAAUUUUUCGGAGAAUAUGCUCUACAAUGGAGUGUUAUACUAAAAAAUGAAAAUUCUUUUAUGGAUAGCCAACAACAAAAUAGGCGACUCAUAUUUUUCUAUUUUAACCAAAGCUCUACCGUUUUUGAGAAAAAUAAUUGAAAAGGUGAAAAUUCCCGACCUGACGUCAGCAAUGUUGCUUUUUUAAUCAGUCAGUCACAGAACUAGAGAUAGAAAGCUUGCCAACAAAGAUAGCUUGAAAGACGUAUGUUUUUUCUUUAUUUCUUCUUUCUUGCUUUACAUACGACUUCAGAUUUGGUGCAGGAGCAGUCAUUUUACCAAAACACAAACUCCUGCAAAAUAUUAGCAUACAACACAAUCACAAUAAACAACGCACGGUUUUGACGUUUGAAUUUGACGUUUACCAGACAAAACGUAAAUCGUAGCGUUAAUUGUAUGCAGCGAAAGACUGACGAAUCAUUAGUUGAGACAUUGCUUACAUCACAACGCAAAUUUUCUAUUAUUACUAAAAAAGUACCGAUUUAAAAAACUCAGACCGAUAUUACUAGACAUCAUUUUGUGUCUACUUUCAGAACGUGCAAAAACUUUUACAUUCGAGUAUAACACUCCAUUGUUGCCAUUAAAUAACAUGUAAAACAAACUUUCUCUAGGUGGACCUACCGGCUCACAUUUCGUUCGCUGCGGAUCCAUUUCUGUACCGUUCUCGUUCUUAUUCGAUCGAUAAUCAGAUACAAAAUAGCUUUUAUAACAAAAAUCGUUAUUAUUUCGAUUCUCGUUAAAUAGCGAUAUCGUUAUAAGUUACAAAAUAAGCCUGUUAAUUAUAGUUGGGCCUUAUUUGGGAACAUAAAAACAUUAUUUUUUGAUAAACAUAUUUAUUAUAUCAUCUUAAAAAAUGCAAAAAUUUUAGAAAACUGUAAUCUCAUGGUUUGUAAUGAGCACUAAAGAUAUUUUUCCCAAUACUAGGCACACGAAAUUAUCACAAAUUGUAAUAUGCAAUUAAAAAAAAAAACGUAAACGUCUUCUUAUAGACAAAAUUAUCACGGUAGUUUUCAACAAUUAAAUAAUGAGACAAAAGAAAUACUUCAUACAAAACAACUAAUAUAGUUAUUAUGUCCAUGUAAUGGAAUAAAAUAUCUGUUGCACUACUAGUGUGCUAAUAAGCCUAAUAAAAACUUUAAACUUUAAACAAAUUUAACAAUUAUUAAAUUUUAUAUUAAUAUUAUUUUAUUUUUGUAUACAUUUAAAACCAAUAAAAAAAUUGAAAAUUUUGAGGCUGCUUAAUAUUUAUUUAUAACUGAGCACUUUUUCGUGUACUUUUGAAAAUUUUAGUAUAAACCCUCUUUGUUAUACAAACCUUUGUGAUACUUCAAAUGAAAAUUAUUUUGACCAGGUUCGGCUAUACAGCGCACUAAGUGCCUUCCAUUAGAGAGUGUUUUUUUUUAAACAAGCCACUCUAGAUAUCUUAAAAAAUAAACAAAAUAUUAGAAGUUCCGACGAGGUCAUUUACUUGACAAAAGGACAGUUUUUUGAGUACUUUUUAACAUUGUAGCACCAAUUAUUUUGUAAUACACACCACCUCUUCAAGAUGGUAUUACUCCUUUUGUUAUAUUUUUAUCUACGUCAACCAUUACAAGAUCCAGCAGAUUAUUAUAACAAACUAUUAUAAAAGUCACCUGUGACUAAAAAUGUUAAUGCUGUAAUAAGUUAUAAGUGAUGGAUUUUCCAAAAUAAUGCAAAAAUUCUUUAAACCUAAAAACGACAUAAUUAUAAUUUAGGAAAACACGAAAAUAUAAAACACAAAUUAAAACAGACUACACUUGAAGCAUCUUUUCCGAAAAAUGCACAAAUGUAAGAAAAUAACAAUUAAAGGAUGUGACGGAAAACUACAGUUGUCCUAUAGACUAAGCAAGACAUUAUUGAAUUUAAAUUAAAUAAUCAACUUAUCGGGAAACAACCUCUUCUAUUAUCAAGUAAUUUUACAGCAUGUAACAUUAUAAAAAAUAACUAAAUUAAAAAAAAAUACUCUCACAUUUAUGGUCAAAAUAACUUACACUUAAAGCGUCGCAAAAAAGGUAAUUUUAUUAAAAAUUUUGAAUUAGUUGUUUGUAUUACAAAGAGGGUUACUGCUCCAACUUUCAAAAGCACUUUUAAAGGUGUUUUCCUAAAAAACAAAAAUUAACCUGUCUUGAAAUUUUUAAACUUUUUGUUUAUUUUCUGAGAUAUCCAGGUUGACUCAUUUUUGAAAAAAAACAUCCUGUAUUGGAAGGCAUAAUACGUUGUGUUCUUUUGCUACAUUAGUGGGCUUCAAAUACUGAACUAAACAUCUUAGAGUAGUUAACAUCGAGCAUUUGCGAGUCUGGAAGCAUUUUGCUUAUCCAUCCACCCGUUCUAAUGCUUAAAUUAAUAUCGGAUGGCAUUUAGUAAUGCGCUAUGCGAGUUUGCCACGUUGACGGGCUUUGGAUACCGCACAAAACGUCUUGGGGUGUUUAUAUAUAUAUAUAUAUAUAUAUAUAUAUAUAUAUAUAUAUAUAUAUAUAUUGGGGUGGAUGGAUAAGCAAAAUGCAAGUGCAUUUUUAUUGUGUUUUGAAAAAAUAACAAAAAUAUAAAUUUUACUAUAUUUUUUUUGCCUACAUUUAACAUAAGUAGCACAGUUAUAAAAGCCUAUUAGAAGGUCUUCCAAUUAUACAAAAAAAUGACAUUGCUCCAAUAAAAAAAAUAUGAUGACUGAUCCAGUUAGGUCAAAUUUGAGUUCUAUUAAAAUACUUAGUCACCUGUUUAUGCAUUUUUUUUAUUUUUUGAAAUAUAAAAGAAUUACAAAUUUAACGCAUUAUAGACAUUAUAACUUUAAAAACUUCUUUGGCGAAAUGCAAGAUCCAAAUUUUUACGUGUACUAAAUAAACAAAUUUAAUAAUAAUUUUUUAAUGCAUUUAGGGUUUUAAAAGCUUUCAUUUAUUUAUCCGUGAAUUACGAUGAAGAAUGAAUAAGUAUCUACAAUUGGCUCAUUUUGUAAUAAAUUUUUAUGAUUCAUCAAAAAUGAGAAGAAAAAUAAUUGGAAUCGUGUACUAAAUUGUAUUUUUUUUUAACUUUUAUUUUUUAUAAUUUAUAAGUCGCAAACUUACAAAGCCAUAAUACUGAUUGCAUUCAAAAUUUUAUUAUUCUCAUAAAACUUAUAAAGUUUUGUAAUAUUAUUUUUAUUACAUUAGGUAAAAAUUUCUUACAAUAUAAACAGAAGUCAAAUAAGACAUUAUUACUACGUAAUAUACAAGUAUGUUAAAAAUUAGACUGUAAUAAGUAUGUAAGUUAUUGUUCCUACUAUUAUUUGGAUGUCCGAGGCUAAAAACUCCAAGCGGUAAUUUAACUUAGUGAGUAAAUAUGGGCAACAUUGUCGGGCUGUGUAUAAUGCGCAAAACCUAUUCAUUAUAUACAAACGGGACUCUUAUAGUAAGUAAAGCAUAAUGUGCUUUGUGAAAACUGAAAAAUAUAUUUUCAACUGUAUGUUGAAAAAACUUACCCCUCUGCGGUUGCGUUUAAUUGUUUCUAAUUAUAGAAUGUGUUUGUGCUGAAUACACAGCUCUAAGUCCACAGGAAAGCCCGGGCUUCUUGGUGUCUAUAGAACAUACCGGGAUUGAUAAAGAUAGCUGGGUGUAUAUAUGUAUACACGAGAGUACUUGUACAAAUUCUUCGGCACAACCGUGAUUAAUAUUACGAAAGACACGAAAUCUUAAUUUACCGAAUCUGGACUCACACAUAUAAUUUACAUUUAAUUUAACUAAAACAUUGAAAAGUUGACAAGCCACAAGAAAAAAAAACUUUCGUCAAAGUGAAGCCUUGAAACGAAAAUCAAUGCACCUAGUCGGUAAUGAAAGCUACCAAAAAUAUACGAAAUGACGUCACGAAAUUAGGCGAAGCCACUAGCAAAACGAUUCCAGAUGAGCUUGUCUUAUAAAACUGCGAGGUACAAAGAUAGAUGUAACCUUAUCGGAUGGCAAUCCUUCAGGAUUCUAACACCUUGUCCUCGAAAUUAUUUCGAUACUCCAACUCCAAGCGAAGCCCCCUUAUCCGCGCCCCCGAUGCCAACAAGACAAUACUAAGAAGAUGAAGAAAAGACGGAAAAAACAAGGAUGGGAAAGAAUAAGACCUUUGAUGUUGGGCGGUCUUUAACUGCGUAUUUCCAAGCGAGACUCUUGAGCGGACAAAGUCGAAAUCAGCACAAUCUUACACAAAUUUGACACAAAUUUUUUCAAAUCACACUUCCAAGUGUGCCAAAGCCCAUGGUUAGUAAAGACAUGGUUGCGCCGUAAUUCUGUGGAGGAGUGGGAAACCGCCACGUUGAUACGUCACAAGAUUACAAACGUGUUGUUUACAUCGUGUUUUUUAUGGUUUUUAAUAAAAAAUAACGAUUAAAACCCAGUGGUGAUGACUUUUUUAGUUAAUAGUGUUGUUUUGCUUGAUAACAGUGCAGUGAAAAAAAAAACAGGGACACCACUAGGAGGGGAAUUUCAAUUUUGCAGAACCAAUAUUAAUUUGCAGACCAGGGCUUUAAAAUAAUCCGACCGACUUGAAAUUCGACACACAUAAAAAACUUAAUAAUAGCUUUUAUUUGGUAUUACUUUUAACCCCUUUGAUUCAACCAUUAAAAACAUCCCCCAAUUCCUUAGACGCUAGGCACCUCUAUUUUAAAAUUUUCAAUGACACACUCAAUUUUUGGAAAAGAAAGAAAAAGCUUGUCUAACCGUAAAAAAGUGUUGAUUUGUUUUUUAAUUGGGGGUGGAUUUUGAAAUUUUUAGUCAUUGGGAGCCUUUGAUUUUAAGCCCAUUUGAUUUAAACAAACAAUUAUUUAAUUUGACUUGCAAAGGUAGAGGUCAAAACCAACAUUACAUAUCUUUAUGUUUAGGGUUCAUCCCCUAGUCGCUUGCCACUCCUUUAACAUUUUAAAUAGCGCCUCCUACAUUGUGAAUCAUUAUUACUAAGAAAAAAAUAUUAGAAAGAAGGGAAAAAGUAAUUUAAUUACAUAAUUGUAGAUUUGUUUUUCAGUUAGGGGUGGUUUUAAAAAGUGGGGGGUACAAUUUAAAGUUCUAGUUAAGAGAAUGGUGUAACUUAAAACGAAGAUUAUGCUAGUUUUAAACUUUCGCCUUCCAAAACGAAUCUAUAUGUUCUUUAUUUAAUUUAAAUUGGCUUAAAAUCAAAGGCUACUAGGUACUACGACCAAAAAUAAAAUUACCCCUCACUCAAAAACUUUCCAUAAGUUAUAUUUUAGCUAAUAAAUAUCGAAGUCUUUUAAUAUGAACAAAAUAGCAAUACGUAUUUAUACCAAACUCGCUCCAAGGGAGAAACGGCAUAUUUUCGACUAAGGGUUGGUAUACAAACGUUUUCUCACGCAUGAACCUUCCUAAAGUGUGGCACUAUAUCUUUGGAAAAGUUUUGUAUUCUACAAUUUUCAUUGUCCUGUAAUUAUAAUCUUCUCCAAGUUAUACAAACAUGCAUAUAAAUACAUAUGAAAUUCAAAAGUGUAAUCUCUUGACGUAUUCGCGCGCCGUCUGCUGAUUGGCUAAAAGUUCCGGCGCAACCAUGUCUACUAACCACGUCCAUAGCCGACAAAUUUUCUGAAAACGACAGGGUGUUUUACUUUACAGUUUUCCGGUUUACCAAAACUUGGCACGGGAAACUCAAAAAAGUGAGGUUAAAAACAACCAAAACCACAACAUGAAACGAAACGGCAAGAAGAAAGACGAAGAAACGAUAGUAGAAGACGAAAACAAGAUUAUGAAAGAAGUGAAAAGAAAAGGUGCCCAACAGUGGUCAGGUCUCUGUUUAAAUUAAAAUAACUUUUAAACGGUGCAUUUUAGCGGUGUAGAAGAUUAUUUCUUUUAUAAUAGUAAUUGAUUGCUCCAUCGAUUUAAGCAAUAAAAAACUAGUGUUCAGAGGGCCGAAAAUUAGAAAAACACAAAAAAUAUAACCCGGAAAUGCUGUAACCGGAAAUUGGAUGGAUGUAUCCGGUUUUUGUAUUUACCUGAUUAAAAGGCAUGUUCUCUUUAGUGCAAAAACGUCUUUCCAAACCCCUACUUCCCAGGGCUGUAAAAUGCUUAUCCGUUUUGAAAGGACACGAGUUAUAAUGUUAAUUGGCAUUAUUUUAUAGUUUCUUUUUAAGGUUCAUUUAUUGCCUCAUAAAUACGACUAACCCUGUAUGGGUCUCCAUAUUACGAUAAGAACCAUGCAAUAGCGGGUACAGAUAAUGUGCGAAAGCGAAGAAGUAUCGAUAUGGUUAUCUUCUAUUUCAGGCGAACUGUACAUUUAACUAUAAUGAAGCACAGAUUAACACCGCAGGCGCAACACAAAACCACCAGCGAAGUGUUCCACAAUUUUGCUAAGCAACGCAAUGACACCAACGAAGUGAGUAUCAUGAGAAUGUGAAAAAUGACGCCGCAGGCGCCACAUUUGCCCCGUAACGCAACACUUAACCACAGGCGAGGUAUUCCACAGUUUUGCUAAGCAACGAAAUGAUACAAACUAGGGUUCCUAUAUUGGGAGAGUUGGGACACUGAAUGUCAAUUUUCAAAAUUUUGUUUCAUAUACGUCGGUUGGAAUGUGUAAAAAAAACAAAUUGGAAUAGAAAUCAGUGGUGUUACACUUAAAAUUUGGCGAAAAGUCAAAUAAAUUUGUCAAAAAAAUUUUCCAUUUUUCGUCGACUGACUGCGUUUAGAAAUGGUUUAGACUGGCAGUUGUCGUCAAUUCACUGUUUUUUUUUAUAUGAACUCCAAAUUUUAAAAAAGAUUUCUUUGUAAGUACAAGAAUUUUACGUCUAAACUCUUCAUCAUAAACAUUUUUUCCUUAAUUUGAGGAAAUGGUAAUCAUCGAUGAAAGAGAGAGAGAAAUUGAACCUUUCCUUUCAAGUUUUACGUUUAUUAUUAACAAGCAUUUGGAAAAGUGAAUUGUCUAAGUAAUGUUAUGUACAAAAUUUAUGAGAUUUUGGAAAUUUGUCUAUCCAUUUAUAAAAUACGUAGGUACUUGAACCCAAAAUUGGUUCUAAUUUUUAGGAAAGUUGAACCUGUCGCUGCUUGGUCGCCUUUAGCCUUUAGAAUUCACGAUUUUGUUACGUUUUUCAUACAAGAACACCUUCAAUAUCAUUUUUUAGAAAAUUUAAACAGACGACAGGAAAUAUGAAGGGUUCUUGAUGACCAAUUUUUGGGACGAGAUGUUUAACUAAAAAUUGUGACUGGAAAAAAGCAUUUUUAGUAUUGAAGUAUGUUUUAAGUUAUGUAUUUAAUAAUAAAAUAAAUAUCGAAAAAUUUCAGAAAUGUGAACAUUAAUACAGGGUGUUCAAAAACACGCGCACCAACUCAGUGGUACGUUAUUAAGAAGCAAGUGCAGACUACAGGAAAAAUGUUGAAAAAAUUCCUGAAGUCAUCUUUUAAAAAAUCUGGAGCUACAAACUUAUUGUGUUAACUUCUUUAGUUUUCAUUAUUUUUUUAUAUUUUCAUAAUUCAUACCAGGUAAUCCACCCGUAACAAAAAGAUGAAUAAUUAUUUUUAAAUUUACUAUCAGAUUUUAGCAGUUUUUUUAAUUUAAAAAAAUUAAAAUUCAUCCAAAAAAUCACAAUGUGUAGAUGUGACAACUCUGGGAAUUAUUUCCUAGGAAACCGUUUCAAAAAUAAUUUAUUUUUAUUGUUGCUCAAAUUGUAUUGCGAUGAUGACUGUUAGACAACGUUGCCACAUAUCAUUUAUUUAAAAUCCGUUAUUUAUCAAUAGCUUUAAUACAAAGAAUUUUUUUACUAUUUUUACCUUUAUAUGUAACCAGUUCUCUACCACACACCAUUGAGUUGGUGCGCCAGUUUUUGAGCACGCUGUAUUGGUAAGUAUUCAAUUAUUUUCUUUUUUUAAAUAGUAAUCUCAAAAUUUCUACGUUUUCUACGUCCCUGGUUAAAUUUGACGUAAAAUUAUGUCAUUUUAUGCAUUUGACAAAAAUUAUAACCUUGAAAUUAUUUUCGACAUAAACCUCUGACAUAAGUUACUAACAAAAAUUUUAAUAAAAAAGGAUAGAAAUAUAUACCUUAUCCACAUAAUACAAAAUUGGCUCGGUUUGACGUUCGGUGUCCCAACUCUCCCAAUAAAGGAACUCUAAUACAAACGAAGUGAGUGACAUGAAAAUAAAAAAAUGGUGUCGCAGGCGCCACAUUUGCGCCGAAGGCGCAACACUUAAUCACAGGCAAAGUGUUCCACAGUUUUGCUAAGCAACGAAAUGACACGAACGAAGUGAGUGCCAUGAGAAUGAAAAAAUGGCGCCGCAGGCGCCACAUGUGCGCUGAUGGCGCAACACUUAACCACAGGCGAGGUGUUCCACAGUUUUGCUAAGCAACGAAAUAACACGAACGCAGUGAGUGCCAUGAAAAUAAAAAAAUGGCGCCGCAGGCGCCACAUUUGCGCCAAAGGCGCGACACUUAACCAAAGGCGAAGUGUUCCACAGUUUUUCUAAGCAACAAAAUGAGAAUUAAAAAAUGGCGCCGCUGGCGCCACAUUUGGCGCAACACUUAACUAAAAGUGAGGUGUUACACAGUACUGCUAAGCAACGAAAUGACAUGAACAAAGUGAGUGCCAUGAGUAUAGAAGUCGCAAAGCAUGCGCCGCAGGCCGGUAGUCCCGCUUGGAGUAAGCUUGUUCGCCUUACUAAAGCGCACGUCACGGCGCUCAUAUACUCUGACUUCCAAUCGCACUUCAUCGUACAUUUUUUUAGAAAUUAUUUUGCUAUCUUAAUACCGAAAGAAUUGAAAAUGAUGAAUAAACAAUCAAAUGGCAAAUUAUAAUUUGUUAAAAGUAUAUACAUAAAUUUGCUUGGAUUUACUCCGGGUAGGCGGCGCCUACCUUGUCUACCCGGAGGAGCCGCCACUGUCUGGCAAACCUUAACAGAAAAUGGUUUACUCUUUGGUAAGGAAGAAAAAUAAUGGGAAUCAAAUCUUACGCCGACAGGACCAACUUCCUUAAAAGAUUUAAAAUAAAACGACGAGUUGCAACGUUUCGUUUAUAUAAUAAAGUUUAUCAGGCUUUUAACUCGUUCAAAUUCUUGGAAAUAAACAUUAAAAU